AGUAAUUAGAGCAUGUAUAUAUGCAUUUUGUGGUGAAAAAUCAAAGUGUGGGAUAUUUUCUCAAGUGGUAGGACAUACCACUAAGUUUUAGUGGCCAAGAGGCCAAUUUAGACCUCAUUCUCUCUUUCUCUUCCUGGCUAGCUCUCUCUCCCUCUUCACUUUCUUUUUCUUUUUUUUUUUCUUCACAAUUUCAAGUUUCAAUUACUCCCUCAUUUGUGGGAAUUUUUGGAUGCUGUUUACGGCAAAACGGAAAGCAUGGCAAGACCUACAAGUGGGUGUAAGCAAUUUCAGUUUUGGUGCAUCCCAGGGAGUUCAAAAUUAGGGCUUGGUGUUGGGAAGUUUGGGGCUUUUCUCAUUUAUUGAGGUUCGGGAAAAGAAGUAGCGGACGACAACCUACCGCAAUUCUAGAUGGGAUUGGGACCUUUGUUGAAGUUAUGUUUUGUAUAAGGAGCUUAAGUCCUUUGUAAUGUUUUAAAUAUAACUUUCAGACAUGUAAAUUUUGUAAGUUUUGUGUUCUUGUUAAAGAUUGGUGAAGGAUCACAUAUAAAUGUGUUGAUAUAAAUCUUAGGUGAAAGUUGUAAUCUUUAUUCAUCAA